rnacentral:tRNA from 1 species
UCUCUGGUGGCUCAGAUGGUAAAGAAUCUGCUUGCAGUGCAGAAGACCCAGGUUUGAUCCCUGGGUUGGGAG